rnacentral:misc_RNA from 1 species
AAAAAACAAACAUGUGUCUAGAGAGCAGGUUGAUUAGAGAAGGGAAAAGGAUACGGGAGGCAAACGAGGAGGCCUAAGAACAAUACUACAACUCCAAGAGCCAUGUAUUUAUUUUGAGGAUGAGUGACUUCUUCUGAUAGUGGAGCAAUAGGCCCUCUUUGGAGGAAGAAUAUUAGGACUACCCAGUAAAAUGCUACAUCGUUAAAUAAUGAACAUAUUCCCAGAAGACCAAUAGAUAGAGCACUAAGGCGAGCUGAAGCCUUCCUUCCCCACAUCGCAAAUGCAAUCCGACCACCAUCAAGCUCUCCUGCAGGAAUGCUAUUGAUAGCAUUUAUCACAAGUCCAGCCCACGCCCAUAUCACAAGCGGAUGUACUGAUAUAGGACUUCCUUCCUGGAGAACAUCUCCUAAAUAAAGCUUGGCUAUACCACCAGCUAGAAAUGAUUCAUGGAACACAGACGGAUCUACGAUGAUGCCAAUCCCAUCACUAGGAGGUAACAUGAAUCCUGAAAGCAAAAGAAUAAACCCCACACAGAACCCAGCUAAUGGUCCAGCUGCUGCAACUUUCAACAGAUCUUCACGAUUUGGUACAACAUUUAGAAUCCUUGUUAUAGCACCAAAACAUCCUAUCUGCCAGCUAGGAACAAAAUAUGGGAUGCUGAGCUUAAUCCCAACUUCUGUGGCAACUAAACGAUGGCUAACUUCAUGAACCCCCAGAAGAAAGGCAGUCAUUAAAGCUCCAGGUAAUCCAUCUUUCAACAAAUCAAGAUUGUCGAAAACUGAUAAAAAGUUCGAUUGUAAUGCUGGCACAUUGCGAAGAAAUAAAGUGAAUACUGUAACGAGUCCAAAGGCCCCUGCUGCAAACCAUUCUGGAACAGCUGUAGUUUCAGGUUGCAGGGUCAUUCUUGGGACCACAACGGCCACAGGCUUAUCAUCCUCUGGAUUGAUUAAAAGAAAAAAUUUAUAGUCAUCUCCAAGUUUUUCCUGCAUUCUCUUUGAUACUUUUUCAUAUGUUUUUGCAGCCUGUCCUCGUAGAUUCCCUUUAAAUAGUACUCCACCCUCAUACGGCUCCUGGCUUGUAACAAAAAACGUGUCAAAACCAAAUACUUGAUUUCUGAGAAUUUCAACUGUUUCCUUGGGGAUCCUGAUUGAUUCAUCG